GCUAGUCCUUCCCGCUCUAGCUCCUCCCCUCAGCUCUUCUCGACUCCCGAUCUCUGGGGCCAAGCGGAGCAAACAUGGGCCGCGGCCUGGACUGCUGAAACGGCCAAAAUGCCUGCCCCGGAGAAGCGACAUAGACCCCUCUCUGAGAGCCCCCGAGGAGCUAUCCGCUGAUCUGGAAGCCCCCAAAGUGGAGCUCUCCAAUUCCCCCUUCUUAGUGCACCCCUCAAGUCCCCGGCCGCCCCACUUUUCUUUCCUAGGUUCGGCCAGUGUGGCCACGUAGGAAGUCCCUGAGGUGGCCCAGAGCAAGACACAUUGUGCUGUCCAACUACCAGCCCCAGGUUUGGACCCCCCCCCCCAACUGGCCCCACUGGAGCUGAUGACAUCUCACUGAAAAAGCCGAAUCGGAAGGAACUGCCCCGGGAUCCCCAGCAGCCACGGGCAGCCCCCAACUCACGGAUGCUGUGUGAGUGAGGCCAGGGACGAGGCGGGCUGGGGGCCCAGGGAGGUCAUGGCAGCAGUGCCAGGGAGGAGCCGUUAGACUGGAAAGCCCCCAGGUCACGCAGCAGAGGCUGUCUGCGGACACCAGGGCAGCCUGGGAGGGCAGCUCUGCCCCUGCCCCCAGGGCCUCUCUCUCUCAGACAGGGCCUGCUGACCCCUGGUUCCUGUCCUGGGGGAGCCGGCCGGGCCGGCUGCAUCACAGAGCCUUGGGGAGCCCAGACAAGCCGCCCGUCAGCAGGCUUUGGGGGAUUCUCCGGCAAUCCUCUGACUCUCCGCUCCAUGGAAGAGAGCAAAUUGCAGUGUCAGGUUGCCCUGGGGAAAGAGCUAAUCGGCUGAGCCCUGAUGCUCUGAGAGGCGGCAGCCCCACGCGGACCCCGAGGGACCAAGAUCUGGGGGGCGGGCCAGAACCAGCUCCCCUCACACUGGGAGGGACCCCUCCGCCAGGACGCCCCAGAGUGCCUCCCGGAUGAUUAGAACUGGAAGAGUGAGGGAGCCAUGGAAGUCCUUGCUGCGAGAUGAGGACCCCAAAGAGUUAAAGUAUAAGUCUUCCAAUGCUCCAGACAUG